rnacentral:rRNA from 1 species
CACGUAGGGGGCGAGCGUUGUCCGGAAUUAUUGGGCGUAAAGAGCUCGUAGGCGGCUCAGUAAGUCGAGCGUGAAAUUCCAAGGCUCAACCUUGGACAGCCGUUCGAUACUGCUGUGGCUAGGGUCCGGUAGGGGAGCGUGGAAUUCCCAGUGUAGCGGUGAAAUGCGCAGUUAUUGGGAGGAACACCGGCGGCGAAGGCGGCGCUCUGGGCCGGUACUGACGCUGAGGAGCGAAAGCGUGGGGAGCAAACAGG